UAGGGUCGUCCCCAUACGCUGUCCGAUAUGAGCACCAAGACAUUAAACCUCAAUACCCCGUUCGGUAUAAGAGUAAAACGGGUCGUCCCCAUACCCCGUCCGGUAUGAGCGUCAAAUGACCAAGUCUCCAUACUCCGUCCAGUAUGAGACAACAUUCACAGUAGGGUUCCCUAUGAACCCGGCCCAUCCACCAUCUCUCAGGAUAUCUAGUGAAGCUGUCACCUUAUCUGUUUAUUAGAUCACAUCCCUUUCCUGUUUAUCCUUAAUC
rnacentral:lncRNA from 1 species